AGUUAGCCACCUGGGGAGUACGUUCGCAAGAAUGAAACUCAAAGGAAUUGACGGGGGCCCGCACAAGCGGUGGAUUAUGUGGUUUAAUUCGAUGAUACGCGAGGAACCUUACCAAGACUUAAAUGGGAAUUGACAGGUUUAGAAAUAGACUCUCCUUCGGGCAAUUUUCAAGGUGCUGCAUGGUUGUCGUCAGCUCGUGCCGUGAGGUGUUAGGUUAAGUCCUGCAACGAGCGCAACCCCUGUCACUAGUUGCUAACAUUAAGUUGAGGACUCUAGUGAGACUGCCUACGCAAGUAGAGAGGAAGGUGGGGAUGACGUCAAAUCAUCACGGCCCUUACGUCUUGGGCCACACACGUAAUACAAUGGCCGGUACAGAGGGCAGCUACACAGCGAUGUGAUGCAAAUCUCGAAAGCCGGUCUCAGUUCGGAUUGGAGUCUGCAACUCGACUCUAUGAAUGCUGGAAUCGCUAGUAAUCGCGCAUCAGCCAUGGCGCGGUGAAUACGUUCCCG
rnacentral:rRNA from 1 species